GGUUUUGUAGUGUAGCGGUUAUCACUCCAGAUUCUGACAUUCUCAGAGCUUUCUGGUAACCCCGGUUCGAUUCCGGGCAAGACCU